rnacentral:lncRNA from 1 species
AGCUUGAAGAGCGAUUAACUCUUGAUUACCCAAAUUCUCUGCAUAUUUAUAGCAAGGGCAACUAGUACCAAGUGUGCUCUUGAAUACUGGGCAACAUGGAUCAAUUUUAGUUUCGUUGAACAUGCACUUGUAAAUCUUUGCUUCGUCACUAGCUGAGCAGCUCGAACUCGGGGCGGGUGGGGGUGGGCAUGGUGGUGGAGGUGGUGGAGGGCAUGGCCGUGGUGGUGGUGGUGGAGGAGGGCUAGGACAUGGCCACGGCCGUGGCCACGGGAAUGGCCACGGCAGAUAACAUGGAAUUUUCCAUGGCCAAAGUUGUAACUCAUUUCCGUCAUCGGCCACGACUACUUCUCUUGCCGUGGCAACUUGUUGGUGGCUGCAAAAUAAAAUUGCAGCCACCAAUAAGGUAAGGAGCAUUUUCAUGGUUGCCAUUUUUCAGUGAGUGGUUUG